rnacentral:lncRNA from 1 species
GAGAAUGAAGAUUAAGAAAAUGGUAGCGACAAUGCAUGAAGCUAAGUUUGUCCGUCCACUUGGAGGUUUACGAGACUUAACCAUUUUCUGAAUCUUGAAAUGUGGCUAUGAAGACAAGAAAGAAAGAGAGUGACUGUGUGUCUGUGUGAGAGAGAGAGGAUUCAAGAAAGUGAUAAGAGUGUCUAUGGACAGAGUGUGAAAAUGGAGACAGAGUUAACGGUGAUAACGGGAUCUUUUGGUUUGAAAACAGUGAAGUAAACGAUGAGAAUUACAAUGAGAAUGAAGAUUAAGAAAAUGGUGGCGACAAUGCAUGAAGCUAAGUUUGUACGUCCACUUGGAGGUUUACGAGACUUAACCAUUUUCUGAAUCUUGAAAUGUGGCUAAAGAUGAAAACUUUUUUUUUUGUGUGUUUAGAGAAAAAGACAGAGAUACUGUUUUUUGGAUGCGGUGCCUGAAGACAAGAAAGAAAGAGAGUGAGUGUGUGUCUGUGUGAGAGAGAGAGGAUUCAAGAAAGUGAUAAAAGAGUGUCUGUGGACAGUGUGAAAAUGGAGACUUAUUUGCAAUUUGGUUUGCGUAAUUUCGGUUCUUUUUGUCACUUCUUUUUGCUAAAAAAUUGAGACCCGGGAAAAGAG